UAGAUACCCUGGUAGUCCACGCGGUAAACGAUGGAUGCUCGUUGUUGGUAUGUUUAUAUCAGUGACCAAGUGAAAACGUUAAGCAUCCCACCUGGGGAGUACGCCGGCAACGGUGAAACUCAAAGGAAUUGACGGGGGCCCGCACAAGCGGAGGAACAUGUGGUUUAAUUCGAUGAUACGCGAGGAACCUUACCCGGGCUUGAACUGCAGCGGAACGAUUCAGAGAUGAUGAGGUCCUUCGGGACUGCUG
rnacentral:rRNA from 1 species